UAUAAUUUAAGGUAGGACCUGCCCACUGAAAAUUUUGAAGGGCCGCAGUAUUUUGACUGUGCAAAGGUAGCAUAAUCAUUAGUUUUUUAAUUGAAAGCUGGAAUGAAUGGUUUAAUGAGAAAAUAACUUUUUUUAAUUUAAUAAUUUAAAAUUUUAUUUUUAAGUUAAAAAGCUUAAAUAUAUUUAUAAGACGAGAAGACCCUAUAGAGUUUUAUUUUUAUUUUAUUAAAAAUUUUUAGUAUUUAAUAAUUUUAUUAAAAUAAAAAUUUGAUUGGGGUGAUUAAAAAAUUAAAUUAACUUUUUUUUUAUAUAUACAUUGAUUUAUG
rnacentral:rRNA from 1 species